CGACCUGGGAUGGGAAUUUGAAGGGGGCGUAUCUUUUUGUGCCUGAAGUUGACCUUGAGAUGAAUAUUUCCCAUUGUAGUAGUAGAAGUAGUAGCCAUGGCAUCGGGCGGGGCACCGAGAGAAUGGAGUGGGAUAUUUGCGGAGAUCUGUGAGGAGUUUCCGGACAGGUGGACCUUGACCAAGGUUCCAUCCCUGCCCGACAUCAGUGAAAUCAGUCAAUACGGAUGGAAACAGUUCAAAGAUACAGCCAAGGUCAUGUUUAGAUGCCGUCGGUGCAAGCACAAAUGGACCUCCGUAAAGGGGCAAGUCAUCUUCCACUACCGCUUAACGCGAGGGCCGAGGAAGAAAGGGCAAGUGAAAAUGUUUCUACCUGGACAGGCGUGCCAAGCUUGCAAUUCAACGAUCUUUGAGCCCUCAAAGUGGUACAACGAUCAGAGGGUUAAAGUGAUGGAGAAUCUCCAACAGAAGCUCGACGAGAAGUUCUACACCAUGAGUUAUGGGGGAAGACCGAACCAGAGUCGCAGAUCAGCAAAUAUGACUAGCAAUCAUAGGGAAGAUCUUUGUGAAGCCUGCCAGUUGGGCUUUUGUCCUCGGAAGAAUCAAGAGGAGGAGGAGUAUUCAGAGGAGGAGUAUUCAGACCAUGAGGAGGAGUGGUAUGACGACUAUUGGACAGAGUCUGACUAGACGUAGACCAUACACUAUACUUGUAUAUGGUCUACUGAUACGUUAUAAAACGUUCUAUAUUCUUGUCAAUCUACCGCAAAGUGAUGGUGAUGAAAACGUCCAAGGAAAUUACAUGUUAAGGAGUGUUACCUUAUACAUGCAUAGUUUGAACAUGCAUUGUCUUCACGAUUCCCCGAUGCUCCCAGCACAUACUGGCAAGUAAUCUUUAUGCCAAUCACUUGCAUCUUAUCAAAACAUGUUUGAACUGCACAUCGUCCCACGUUACUAUGCAAUUUGUGAAGUAAAUAUUUUCAUGAGCCGUAAGUUGUUGCCACUAUCCCCCCAUCUGAAACCUCUGUAGAAUAGACACGACACGAAGGUUUCGGUCUCGUGUCAGUAAUCGAUCGGACCUUGAGCUUUUUAAUGGACACUGGUGUGUACCAUGAUCACGCUGUGCUGACAAUAAAGUUUCGGCGAAACCUGGUAUUCAAAUUAAUCAAGUGGUGAUUGGUUACAUCCCUGUCAAAGAUAAAGGUGUUGUUUACCCUUGACAACAAGCUAUAUGGUCCAACACACAUUUCCUGUCACUCAAAGUGACACAACGUUGUCUCAGUGUCGGUGUUCUCAAGAAAAGAAGAUCCUCUUCGGCGACGCGUUAUUUUGUCAAAUAGCCAUGGCAGAUGGUGGAGCAGCAGUGGAUUGGAGUGAUGUAUUUGAGACGGAGAUCCGUGCAAAGUUCGAAGACGACUGGACCUUGAACAAGGUCGGCGAUCUACCCAACAUCAACCAGGCUAGAG